GGCUUCAUGGUCGAGUAGUAAAGACAUUUACCUCAUACCCUAGAGACCCGGUUUCGAUUCCCGGUCGAGGAGCUA